UCGAAUGAAGUGAUAAAACUAUUUGAAUGAAGUAAUAUAAUAGAAUAAAAUGAAGUAGUGAUCUAGUCACACUCAAUAACUUUGUUUCCUCCCACCUCCCUCCUUUAUAUUUAUGCUGCUGCUGCAGCAUCAUCAACACACUCAAUAACUUCGCUGCCUCUGCCGCAUUGCUGCUGCAUUUUACUGCCUUUUCCCUCAGAGAGGAGGAGGUGGUGGAAGUAGAUCGAGAAGUUGUUGAUAUCGAUAAGAAUGAAUGUUGUGGUUUGCAGCACUCUGCUGCUGCGGCUCUGUUUCGCAGCAUCCGCCAACGGACAGAAAACCACCCCCGCGCCGGCGACUCCGACACUGUGGCCAGCACCGGCUACCGAUUGAUAGCACCAGUGAGUACGACAAUGGCGACAGAGGGGCUGUCCUUGCAGAGAGACAUGCAGAAGGCGAAAGGGGAAUUGAGGGACGGUGAGAGAGAAUUGUAGAGAGAGAAGUGAGUUAGAUUUUGAAAGAGAGGAAGAACUGCAUAUUCUGGAAAUACCCUUUUACCAAUUUCAUUAAAUAAAAAAGUCAGAUAAUGUAUAA